CCUACGGGAGGCAGCAGUGGGGAAUAUUGCACAAUGGGGGGAACCCUGAUGCAGCGACGCCGCGUGAGUGAAGAAGUACUUCGGUAUGUAAAGCUCUAUCAGUAGGGAAGAAAAUGACGGUACCUGACUAAGAAGCCCCGGCUAACUAUGUGCCAGCAGCCGCGGUACUACGUAGGGGGCAAGCGUUAUCCGGAUUUACUGGGUGUAAAGGGAGCGCAGACGGUUGUUCAAGUAUGGAGUGAAAGGCGGGGGCCCAAGCGCCGGACUGCUAUGGAAACUGUAAAGCUGGAGUGCAGGUGAGGUAAGCGGAAUUUGUGGUGUAGCGGUGAAAUGCGUAGAUAUUAGGAAGAACACCGAUGGCGAAGGCGGCUUACUAGACUGCAACUGACGUUGAUGCUCGAAAGCGUGGGUAGCAAACAGGAUUAGAUACCCGUGUAGUC
rnacentral:rRNA from 1 species